rnacentral:rRNA from 1 species
GAAGGCGACUUUUUGGUUUAUAACUGACAUAGAGGCAGAAAAGCGUGGGAAGCAAACAGAGUUAGAUUCCCUGGUAUUCCACGCGUUAAAAGAUGAGGGUUAAGUGUUGAAGGGUUUCCGCCCUUUAGUGCUGAAGUUAACGCAUUAAGCAUUCCGCUUGGGGAGUACGGCCCCAAGGCUGAAAUUCAAAGAAAUGGAGGGGGGCCCGCCCAAGCGGUGGAGCAUGUGGUUUAAUUGGAAGCAACGGGAAGACCCUUACCAGGUCUUGACAUCUUCUGACAACCCUAGAGAUAGGGCUUUUCCUUCGGGAGCAGAGUGACAGGUGGUGCAUGGUUGUGGUCAGCUCGUGUCGUGAGAUGUUGGGUUAAGUCCCGCAACGAGCGCAACCCUUGUUUUUAGUUGCCAUCAUUAAGUUGGCCACUUUAAGGUGACUGCCGGUGACAAACCGGAGGAAGGUGGGGAGGACGUCAAAUCAUCAUGCCCCUUAUGCCCUGGGCUACCCACGUGUUCCAAUGGACGGUACAAAGAGCUGCAAGACCGGGAGGGGGAGCUAAUCUCAUAAACCCGUUUUCAGUUCGGAUUGUAGGCUGCAAUUCGCCUCCAUGAAGCUGGAAUCGUUAGUAAUCGGGGAUCACCAUGCCGCGGGGAAUACGUUCCCGGCCCUUGUCCACCCCCCCCGUCCCACCACGAGAGUUGGUACCACCGGAAGUCGGUGGGGUAACCUUUGGAGCCAGCCGCCUAA